rnacentral:rRNA from 1 species
GACGAACCGUGCGAACGUUGUUCGGAAUUACUGGGCGUAAAGAGCUCGUAGGUGGUUUGUCGCGUUGUCCGUGAAAACUCACAACUCAAUUGUGGGCGUGCGGGCGAUACGGGCAGACUGGAGUACUGCAGGGGAGACUGGAAUUCCUGGUGUAGCGGUGGAAUGCGCAGAUAUCAGGAGGAACACCGGUGGCGAAGGCGGGUCUCUGGGCCGAUACUGACGCUGAGGAGCGAAAGCGUGGGGAGCGAACAGG